rnacentral:tRNA from 1 species
GUGGCUACUUAGCUCAGCUGGUUAGAGCACAUCACUCAUAAUGAUGGGGUCGCAG